rnacentral:rRNA from 1 species
GUAGGUGGCAAGCGUUGUCCGGAAUUAUUGGGCGUAAAGCGCGCGCAGGCGGUCCUUUAAGUCUGAUGUGAAAGCCCACGGCUCAACCGUGGAGGGUCAUUGGAAACUGGGGGACUUGAGUACAGAAGAGGAAAGCGGAAUUCCAAGUGUAGCGGUGAAAUGCGUAGAGAUUUGGAGGAACACCAGAGGCGAAGGCGGCUUUCUGGUCUGUAACUGACGCUGAGGCGCGAAAGCGUGGGGAGCAAACAGGAUUAGAUACCCUGGUAGUCCACGCCGUAAACGAUGAGUGCUAAGUGUUAGGGGUUUCCCGCCCCCCUUAGUGCUGCAGCUAACGCAUUAAGCACUCCGCCUGGGGAGUACGGCCGCAAGGCUG